GACGAACGCUGGCGGCGUGCUUAACACAUGCAAGUCGAACGGAAAGGCCCUGCUUGCAGGGUGCUCGAGUGGCGAACGGGUGAGUAACACGUGGGUGAUCUGCCCCUUACUUUGGGAUAAGCCUGGGAAACUGGGUCUAAUACUGGAUAGGACCAUGCUGUAGGUGGUGUGGUGGAAAGAUUAGUUUCGGUAAGGGAUGAGCUCGCGGCCUAUCAGCUUGUUGGUGGGGUAAUGGCCUACCAAGGCGUCGACGGGUAGCCGGCCUGAGAGGGUGGACGGCCACAUUGGGACUGAGAUACGGCCCAGACUCCUACGGGAGGCAGCAGUGGGGAAUAUUGCACAAUGGGCGCAAGCCUGAUGCAGCGACGCCGCGUGGGGGAUGACGGCCUUCGGGUUGUAAACUCCUUUCAGCCAUGACUAAGCCCUUGUGGUGACGGUAGUGGUAGAAGAAGCACCGGCUAACUACGUG
rnacentral:rRNA from 1 species